rnacentral:rRNA from 1 species
UUUGGUUCGGAACAACUGAGGGAAACUUCAGCUAAUACCGGAUAAGCCCUUACGGGGAAAGAUUUAUCGCCGAAAGAUCGGCCCGCGUCUGAUUAGCUAGUUGGUGAGGUAAUGGCUCACCAAGGCGACGAUCAGUAGCUGGUCUGAGAGGAUGAUCAGCCACAUUGGGACUGAGACACGGCCCAAACUCCUACGGGAGGCAGCAGUGGGGAAUAUUGGACAAUGGGCGCAAGCCUGAUCCAGCCAUGCCGCGUGAGUGAUGAAGGCCCUAGGGUUGUAAAGCUCUUUUGUGCGGGAAGAUAAUGACGGUACCGCAAGAAUAAGCCCCGGCUAACUUCGUGCCAGCAGCCGCGGUAAUACGAAGGGGGCUAGCGUUGCUCGGAAUCACUGGGCGUAAAGGGUGCGUAGGCGGGUCUUUAAGUCAGGGGUGAAAUCCUGGAGCUCAACUCCAGAACUGCCUUUGAUACUGAAGAUCUUGAGUUCGGGAGAGGUGAGUGGAACUGCGAGUGUAGAGGUGAAAUUCGUAGAUAUUCGCAAGAACACCAGUGGCGAAGGCGGCUCACUGGCCCGAUACUGACGCUGAGGCACGAAAGCGUGGGGAGCAAACAGGAUUAGAUACCCUGGUAGUCCACGCCG